rnacentral:ncRNA from 1 species
CGUCAAGUGCAGGGGGACCUGGAGGUGCGCAGCACCCGCCAGGUUGAGAAAGGCAACCGGCCUGACCCUUUGAACCUGUUGGCCAAUACCAUCGUAGGGAGUCAUGACAUCAUGAACC